rnacentral:lncRNA from 1 species
ACAGCUCUGGCGCCAUAAUCAGGGUCGCGGGUUGGGAUCAGCUGUGCCUCCCCAUCCCCACCCCCUACAGACCACCUCCCCUUACCCUGCCUGCCUGGAGCCCCAGCUGGCUCUUGGAAGGUCCCUUUCCAAUUUGCUCCACAUUCGGGAGUUUCUUAUUCCCACGGGAAGAACUCGUUGCCAUGGCGAUGUGCGCCUCCCAACCCUGAAGCCCGCCCUGGAAGCGAAAUCCUUGCCUGGGCUCCCAGGCUGAGCCGGAGGACCCCGGGGGUUCACCUAGCCCUCUGGGAUAAGGGGCUUUAGUCUCUAUAUUCUUUGGGCUUGGGGGUUGGGGACAGUGGGAGGAUUAAUUAUGGAGGCAAGGUCAGAGGAAAAGGGAAAAAUGGGAAAGAUUUUAUUUAAAGCCCCUGGUCAUUCUUGCCUUUCCGCCCGCCCACCACGACCCCUCAAGCCAGAUGCCGUCUCUAGUUCGGGAGCGUUGGAUGAGGAUGCCAGGCACUCUGCUUUUCCUAAACAACUUCCAAGAACCCCGGAACAUUUCUUAAAGUGUCUGGAACGAAGCUUUAACCUCGCCUGCUCCAUCAGCCUGGGACGGAAAAGACGCGAGGGGCGAAGAAGAGGUGGGGCACGGGGAGCCCGGGCCGUUCGGCUUAGGUCUACAAGCCAGGUUCAAGGCCACCAACUGAGGCACCUGUCCCGAGACAGGACCAUUCUAAUCUGCCCUGAAAAGGACAUCCCAUUGAUCAUGUAAGUAUGUACUGAGAAUCUACUGUGGGCAAGACAUUGGUCUUCGCUGUGGGAGAUACAAAAACCAUUCAGGCAUGGCCCUUGCCUUUUUCAUGCCAAGAAAAGCUGAAGUGUGUGGUCAGAAAUUGCAUGUGGUUUCUGGGACUUACUGCCCUGAAGCACCCUGGGUGUAUCGGAUGGCCUCAGGGAACACAGUUUGGGUAUGGGCAGUAUUUUCAUGCCCAUUGCCAUUCCCUUCUGCCUCAAGUGUAUGUGGGCUUUCCCUGCAGUCAGCCAGCAGGCCAGGCCAGGGUGGCUUUGUUUCUGUCUCUGACCCUUUCUCUUCAGACUCCAAAUCUGCAGGUGCUGGAGACUUUGAAGGAGUCUCCGUUUCCCUUGGUAGAAACAAGAGGUAGGAACAAGCAGGUGGAAAGCCAGGGUUACUCCUUCCAGCCAAUGGGUCUGGGGCUGCAGCACACAAAGUUGACAUCCCGAAAGGCCAUUUUCCUCGAUCGCUUCAGACCUGGCAUUGGGUGGACAGACCACAUGAUUCAGCAUCCAAAUUGGAGAUCUCUCAAUAACAGAAAGAGGUGCCAUUGAUAAUUUCGUGGAACUUUCCUGAGCACACCAGGGUGUGCUCAUUCUUCCUGAGGGGUCAUCUCCCUUGGGCAUCGUAAGAGGCACCACUGAGACACAACAGCUUUUGUCACCAUUUCCCAAUUGUGUCCCAAGCUCUCUGUCCUCUUCCCUGUGCUGGUCAUCUCACAGUCUUCUUCUGCAGGUAGAUCCCCCCUACUUCAGCCCUUCCUCCCACCUCAGCUCCUUUGUUCCCGCUGCCAUGCCCAGAACAACCUAUAUUUCCACUCUCCAACCUUGGAUCAACCCAACUGUGUUUUCACGCUACUAUGUCCAGGAUACUGGAUGAUACUAGAGAUAGCCAUCAGUAACAUUCAUUACAUGAAUAAGUCUGGGUUGAUCCUGUGACACAGUUAUGCCUUCUACCCUCUGCUGCUUCUCAACAUUGCUCAGUCCUUAUGUUGGUGUUCUCAUUUCACAUGAUAGAGUUCCAAACCUUUUGUAGCCCGAAUCGUCAUCUAUCCCCUAAUUCUUGGAAAAGACCCUAACUUCACCAAUAGCAACAACAAUCAAAACCAACUGAACAAACAAAAAAAUACUUAAGAUACGAACCUCUCAGAUUUUCUGAACUCUCCACCUCCAGACUAAAUUUGUGGAUGGAUACCUAUCUGUUGACCAGACCCUCCCUCUUCAAUGAAAACUGCCUCUCCUUCCACUCCAUCUGUGAGGCACCCUUGGAUGCUGACAUGUGCUUACAUAGGACUUCCUGUCCACAGCCAGAAUUAGCCAGAAUUCACUGACCCAUGGUUGGACUCCUAAAAUACUCAAGAUGAGAGACAUGUUACUUUUCUUUACUAUAGUAACUAUCAAAUGCAUCCCAUAACCUUAUGUUGUAAAUGUCAAAUAUGCACAAUAAAAUUUAUUUGAAAAAAUAAAGCUGGAAAAUUGAAAGUAAUGAAUGUUCAGUUAAAAUCUGCAAACAAGCUAAUAAAUAAAUACUCAAGAUGGCCCAGUGACAGCCUUUCUCUAGAGUUUUUGAUUUGAGGCCAAGAAGGUUAGUGCAGCCUUUCUCCCAUGGCUGUCACUGUGAAGAUAAACAUUUGGGAAUUGAUGGCAGCCUUGUUUCUCCACCAGGCUGAAGAAACUAGGACCUGCGGGGGCUGAGACUGGAGUGAAACAGAUGUGAAGAGAAAAGUCCUGGGUCCAGGUGGUCCUGGGGCCCAGCCAUGCUCUUGUUUUUUUUUUUUUGUUUGUUUUUUGUUUGUUUGUUUGUUUGUUUUGUUUUAAUAGAUUUAAAUUGGUUCCUGCCAGGUACAGUCAAAGGCCUUUUUACCUGCUUCUCAGAGAAUUUCCCUCCGCCUGCCUGUGGCUAAUUCCUUCUCCUGCACCCUUGGUUCAGCCUCACCUGGCGACCCUUGUUCCAUCACUUCCACCACUUCUCUAGAAUCUUCAGUCAUUUCAGCAAUACAUAUGUUCAUCUUCCUGCCCAAAAACUGAAUAAGCAAAGACUUUCUUUCAUCUCUGACCCUCUUCAACUUCUGCCCUUCCCUUCUACUCACUAUCUCUAUUUUCUCACCUCCUACUUAAUGCCCAAUCUGCUGCUGCUAUCUUGCUCCAUUUCUUCUUCCCAUUUUCCUGAGGCUACUCUCUUGACAGGGAGUGCAUUGCAGAAUAUGUCCAAUUUCUUGUGUUUAUGUUACUUGUCUGCAGCAUCUGGCAUCAGUAACCACCUCCUCUUUCUCAAAACUCCCACUGCACUUGAUGGUUUUCCUGCUGGUUCUUGACCUGAUGCAGAAAAGCUUGACCUGCAGAAGCUGUACUAGAAGCAAUCAGGAUCUAAAGCUCUAGACUUUUCCAACCUGCCUCUCAUUGCCAUAAAAAUGCAACUGGCCUGUGUCUCCUCUCCUGGUGCACUGCUAAGGGAGGGCUGACUGAUCUAAUGAGAUUACUGGAGCUAAGGCAUUCACAGCAUCAAGAGGAGAGACACAGAAAUGUAAGACCUAAGUCCUGCCUUCAAAAACCCACAUGCUCAUUGGAAAAACAACACAGAAACACUUAAAAAAUGAAAUUCAAGCAUGAAGUAACAGCGUGAGGUAUGUCACAAAGUGGUAUGUUAUUAUUUUUUUUUAUGAGGUGGAAUCUCACACUGUCACUCAGGCUGGAGUGCAAUGGCAUGAUCUCGGUUCACUGCAACCUCCACCUCCCAGGUUCAAGUGAUUCUCCUGCCUCAGCCUCCUGAGUAGCUGGGAUUACAGGCGCCCACCACCAUGCCCAGCUAAUUUUUGUAUUUUUUUAUUAGAGACGGGGUUUCACCAUCUUGGUCAGGCUGGUCUCGAACUCCUGACCUGGUGAUCUGCCUGCCUCGGCCUCCCAAAGUGCUGGGAUUACAGGCAUGAGCCACCGCGCCCAGCCAGUGGCAUGUUAUUAAGAGAUGUGGAUACCAGUUUCUCCAGGAGAUCACAGAGCUUUCCCUGUAGGAGUAAUCAAUGGAGGCAUCCUUGUUGGGGAAGGGUCUUGGUGGUAGAUGCUGGUCUGAAAAUUGACCAAGGCCUUAAGUAAAAGUUAGGAGCUGUAUUUCCAGAGUAGAAAAAGAGAGAGACAGAGAGAGAGAGAGAGGGAGAUUCUAGGCGUGAAGAAAGCCCAAGAGCUCACAAAAUCUUGAGCUUGGGAUAGAAAUCAGACUGGACCAAGUGGAGGGUUAUAGUGGACAGUGCUCAUUUAACAAAAUAUUUUGUUUAUAAAUUUAUUAUUUGAUGUUUUAAAAACGUAUCAAGAAAACAUUAUGGGCAAAAUCAGAACACAGUUGGACUUCCUUACAUUUAUGUUAUUUUUUUUCCUUUUUUCAAUUGAUACACAUAUUUGUACAUAUUUAUGGAGUACAUGUGAUAUUUUGUUACAUGCAUGGAAUGUGGAAUGAUCAAGUCAAGGUAUUUAGGGUAGACAUCACCUCAAGUAUUUAUCAUUUUUAUAUGUUGGGAACAUGUCAAGUUCUCUCUUCUAGCUAUUUUGAACUAGACAAUACGUUGUUACUGACUAUAGCACCCCACUGUGGUAUAGAACAUUAGAACUUAUUCCUCCUAUCUAACUGUAUGUACCCACCAACUAAGCACUCUCUUAAUCCCCUUCCCCACCAGCACACCUUCGCAGCAUCUGGUAUCUAUCAUUCUCCUCUCUACCUCCAUAAGAUCAACUUUUUUUAGCUUCCAUAUAUGAGUGAGAACUUGCAAUGUUUGUCUUUCUCUGACAGCCUUAUUUCACUUAACAUAAUGACCUCCAGUUCCAUUCAUGUUGCUACAAAUGACAAGAUUUUAUUCCUUUUUUAUGGCCAAAUAGUAUUCUAUUUGUGUAUUUAUAUCACAUUUUUAAUCCAUUUGUCCAUUGAUGGACACUUAGGUUGAUCCCCUAUCUUUGCUAUUGUGAAUAGUGCUGUCGUAAACUGAGAGCACAGGUAUGCUGUGAUGUACUGAACUCCUUUCCUUUAGAAAAAUACCCCAUAGUGGGAUUGCUGGGUCAUAUGGUAGUUCUAUUUUUAGUUUUUUGAGAAAUCUCCGUACUGUUUUCCAUAAUGGCUGUACUAAUUUAGAUUCUCACCAACAGAUCCUUGCCAGCAUCUGUUACUAUUUUUUUUUUGUCUUUUUAAUAGUAGCCAUUCUAACAGGGGUAAGAAAAUGUCUCAUUGUGGAUUUCGAUUUGCAUUUCCCUGAUGAUUAGUGAUGUUGAGCAUUUUUUCAUGUACCUGUUGGCCAUUUGUAUGUCUUCUUUUGAGAAAUGUCUAUUCAUGUCCUUUGCUCACUUUUUAAUGGGAUUAUAUGGGUUUUUUUUCAACUGUUGGGUUGUUUGAGUUCCUUGUACAUUCUGGAUAUUAGUCCUUUGUCACAUUAAUAGUUUGCAAAUAUUUUCUCCAAUUCACCAGGCUGUCUCUUCACACUGUUGAUUGUGUGUAGAUGCUGUGCAGAAGCUAUUUAGUUCAACAUAGUCCCAUUUGUCUAGUGUUGUUUUUGUUGCCUAUGCUUGUGAUCCUGUUUUAUAUUUAUGGAGGAUAGAGGUGAGACAUCAUAAUCAUAUCAGUGUUAAGGACCUUGAAAGGUUGAAUGCAGAUCUUUAGUAGCACAUAAAGCUGGGACUAUAUUUUGGAAGACUUGAAUUCCAAGUGAAGCAGUUGGACCUUGCAUAUCUUGAUGUGCAAAGGGCUUUGAGGACAAUGACUACCUCAAGUUCUCUGGGUCUCUGGAGAAAAAUAUUUCUGAUUUUACAUACCUAGUCUAAUAUUGGAUUUCGUAUCUUUUACUGCAUAGUGUACAUUUUAAAAACUACAUAUGUAAGAGUUUUCUGGUGGUAGAAAUUAUGCCUCUUUGUUUCAUUACUCUUGUUCAUUGGUAUUAGUUGGAAGAGAUAAUGUCCCUUUAAGUGCAAACCCUCCCUUGAAGAAUAAAUCCUAAAACAACUG